UACAGAGGGGGCAAGCGUUGUUCGGAAUUACUGGGCGUAAAGGGCGCGUAGGCGCCUUCUAAGUCGAACGUGAAAUCCCUGGGCUCAACCCAGGAACUGCGUCCGAUACUGGAAGGCUUGAAUCCGGGAGAGGGAUGCGGAAUUCCAGGUGUAGCGGUGAAAUGCGUAGAUAUCUGGAGGAACACCGGUGGCGAAGGCGGCAUCCUGGACCGGUAUUGACGCUGAGGCGCGAAAGCCAGGGGAGCAAACGGG
rnacentral:rRNA from 1 species